rnacentral:misc_RNA from 1 species
GAAAAGGCAAGUCAAUCUUCCUGAAUGCAUACAGUUUUCCAUGUCUUCCAUCAAAAACAUUUAAAAAUACAACUUUCAACUUUUUCAUUAAAAAUUUAGCAGAAAACUAUAGUUAAUACAAGUAAACAACAGAGCUAACAUUCGAAACUCAGCUAUCAGUAACCUCUUCAUGUCCAACUUAUGGCCACUGGACUACUCACUACAUGCUUUCCAUCUGACCACUCAAUUCGAGCAUAAACAUUUUCAGUUGAUGGCAUUGAAGGAGCAGUGAAAGUCACGGUAUAUGAUUUCUGCUCGUUCAUACGAGUAAAAGCCAAUGUUUCAGGCUCAACCACGACUUUCACUGAGUUGCUUGGUUUAAUAACAUUGACUUUGUAUGUUCCGGCUGGUCCAACAUUAGUAAGUGUUCGUGUGUGUUUGAUUGAACUAGAACCACUUCCGCUGCUUGCAGUCAUUUGUUCUGGAAAUACAACAGCAAAUGAAGGGUAAUUCAAAUCAGCGACACGAAACUUCUUAUUUGUUGCACAACUAAAGGGUCUUCUUGCAACACUAUUGAUCUGGAUUGAUGUGUAGUUCAAGGCACAGAGGAAAUUCAGAUAAUCAUCAGCCUUCAAGUCGUAAACAAGUCCGGGGUUUAGUGCUGCAACAGGA